rnacentral:rRNA from 1 species
UACGUAGGGGGCAAGCGUUGUCCGGAUUUAUUGGGCGUAAAGAGCGUGUAGGCGGCCUGAAAGGUCAGCUGUGAAAACUCGAGGCUCAACCUCGAGACGUCGGUUGAAACCAUCUGGCUAGAGUCCGGAAGAGGAGAGUGGAAUUCCCGGUGUAGCGGUGAAAUGCGCAGAUAUCGGGAAGAACACCCGUGGCGAAAGCGGCUCUCUGGAACGCAACUGACGCUGAGACGCGAAAGCGUGGGGAGCAAACAGG